GUGACUAUCUUAUGUUGGAGCUGUCGAGGUUUGGGGUUGGACUCGACAGUUGGCGAGCUUCGCUGGCUUGUGAAGCUACACCGACCCUCCCUCCUCUUUCUGUCUGAAACGAAGAUGAGGGACACCCGUGUGAAGAAUUUUAUGUGGUCUCUAGGGUUUUCUGGUUGCUAUGUUGUUAGUUUUGUGGGACUCAGCGGUGGCCUUGCUUUGUUCUGGAAGGCCUCGACAAAGGUUACUGUGAAGGCUGCCAAUAAGCGUUUCAUUGAUGUUCAUGUGAAGAUUGAUGAGGGGGUGGCCUGGCGUGCCACCUUUGUGUAUGGGGAGCCAAGGAGAGAAGAUAUGUAUCUGUUUUGGGAGCUCCUCAAACGAUUACAUCCAUUGUGGGAUGGACCGUGGUUAUGUUGUGGAGACUUCAACGAGGUCUUGGCUAAGGACGAACAUUGUGGCCCUUGA
rnacentral:rRNA from 1 species